rnacentral:rRNA from 1 species
AUUGAACGCUGGCGGCAGGCCUAACACAUGCAAGUCGAACGGCAGCGGGGACUUUGGUCCGCCGGCGAGUGGCGAACGGGUGAGUAAAGUAUCGGAACGUACCUUUCAGUGGGGGAUAACGUAGCGAAAGUUACGCUAAUACCGCAUAUUCUGUGAGCAGGAAAGCAGGGGAUCGCAAGACCUUGCGCUGAUUGAGCGGCCGAUAUCAGAUUAGCUAGUUGGUGAGGUAAAGGCUCACCAAGGCGACGAUCUGUAGCGGGUCUGAGAGGAUGAUCCGCCACACUGGAACUGAGACACGGUCCGGACUCCUACGGGAGGCAGCGGUGGGGAAUUUUGGACAAUGGGGGCAACCCUGAUCCAGCCAUGCCGCGUGAGUGAAGAAGGCCUUCGGGUUGUAAAGCCCUUUCGGCCGGGAAGAAAUCGUAUGGGUUAAUACCCUGUGCGGAUGACGGUACCGGCAUAAGAAGCACCGGCUAACUACGUGCCAGCAGCCGCCGUAAGAC